UCUGCCUCUCCUGGAAAACCGCUUUCCUGGUGGCCAUCACAUCUGCGAGACAGGUUUCGGAACUUCGGGCCCUCACCGUGGACCCCCCGUAUAUGGUGUUCCACUGAGAAAAGGUGCAACUGUGGCCACAC